rnacentral:rRNA from 1 species
UACGUAGGGGCCAAGCGUUGUCCGGAUUUAUUGGGCGUAAAGAGCUCGUAGGUGGUUCGGCAAGUCAGUUGUGAAAUCUCCGCGCUCAACGCGGAGGGGUCAGCUGAAACUGCUGUGACUUGAGUCUGGUAGGGGAGUGUGGAAUUCCCGGUGUAGCGGUGAAAUGCGCAGAUAUCGGGAGGAACACCAGUGGCGAAGGCGGCACUCUGGGCCUUACCUGACGCUGAGGCGCGAAAGCUAGGGGAGCGAACAGG